UACGUAGGGCGCAAGCGUUGUCCGGAAUUAUUGGGCGUAAAGAGCUCGUAGGCGGUUUGUCGCGUCUGCUGUGAAAACCUAAGGCUCAACCUUGGGCUUGCAGUGGGUACGGGCAGACUAGAGUGCGGUAGGGGUGACUGGAAUUCCUGGUGUAGCGGUGGAAUGCGUAGAGAUCAGGAAGAACACCGGUGGCGAAGGCGGCUCGCUGGGCCAUUUCUGACGCUGGAGGCGCGAAAAGCCGUGGGGAGCAAACAGG
rnacentral:rRNA from 1 species